GACAGAGGGUGCAAACGUUGUUCGGAAUUACUGGGCGUAAAGCGCGUGUAGGCGGCUCUGCAAGUCGGGUGUGAAAUCCCACGGCUCAACCAUGGAAGUGCACUCGAAACUGCAGGGCUAGAGUCCUGGAGAGGAAGGUGGAAUGCUUGGUGUAGAGGUGAAAUUCGUAGAUAUCAAGCGGAACACCGGUGGCGAGGGCGGCCUUCUGGACAGUGACUGACGCUGAGACGCGAAAGCGUGGGGAGCAAACAGG
rnacentral:rRNA from 1 species